rnacentral:tRNA from 1 species
CGCGGGGUAGAGAAGCAGUUAUCUCGUCAGGCCCAUAACCUGAAGAUCGGGGGUGCAACUCCCUCCCCCGCAA